rnacentral:misc_RNA from 1 species
GAUGAAGAACGUAGCGAAAUGCGAUAAGUAAUGUGAAUUGCAGAAUUCAGUGAAUCAUCGAAUCUUUGAACGCACAUUGCGCCCUCUGGUAUUCCGGGGGGCAUGCCUGUUCGAGCGUCAUUAUAACCACUCAAGCUCUCGCUUGGUAUUGGGGUUCGCGGUUCCGCGGCCCCUAAAAUCAGUGGCGGUGCCUGUCGGCUCUACGCGUAGUAAUACUCCUCGCGAUUGAGUCCGGUAGGUCUACUUGACAGCAACCCCCAAUUUUUACAGGUUGACCUCGGAUCAGGUAGGGAUACCCGCUGAACUUAAGCAUAUCAAUAAGCGGAGGA